CCUACGGGUCGCACCAGUGGGGAAUAUUGCACAAUGGGCGCAAGCCUGAUGCAGCCAUGCCGCGUGUGUGGAGAAGGCCUUCGGGUUAUAAAGCACUUUCAGCGGGGAGGAAGGCGAUAAGGUUAAUAACCUUGUCGAUUGACGUUACCCGCAGAAGAAGCACCGGCUAACUCCGUGCCGGCAGCCGCGGUAAUACGGAGGGUGCAAGCGUUAAUCGGAAUUACUGGGCGUAAAGCGCACGCAGGCGGUCUGUCAAGUCGGAUGUGAAAUCCCCGGGCUUAACCUGGGAACUGCAUUCGAAACUGGCAGGCUAGAGUCUUGUAGAGGGGGGUAGAAUUCCAGGUGCAGCGGUGAAAUGCGUAGAGAUCUGGAGGACUACCGGUGGCGAAGGCGGCCCCCUGGACAAAGACUGACGCUCAGGUGCAAAGCGUGGGGAGCAAACAGGAUUAGAUACCCCAGUAGUC
rnacentral:rRNA from 1 species